GGAGAUCUUAGGACCACUGUGGCAAAGUACGACCGUGGUCAUAGUCUUCAAGACCAUCAUGGUUGGCACAACCGCAGUAAUAGAUUAUGCUAUGGUGUGGCGAGCCACAAAUUAGCUAUGGUGUGGCGAGCCACAAAUUAGAUAUGGUAUAGUGAGUUGUAAACAUGUUGUGAUUGAGUAAGCUGUAAAUUGUCGUUAGUAUCACCGCAGUGUUAUUUAGGAGUCCGUUUUAGCUAGUAGAUAAAAAGUCAUAACGGGC
rnacentral:lncRNA from 1 species